GAUUGAUUACUUCUAUAAGUGGUAAUCAAGAGCAAGGGACACAACACAAGACAUGUAAGUAAAUAAUAGAAUGGGGUUAGAUUUAAGGAGACGAAAAAAAAAGAUGAGAGGUCAAUUAUUUUUAUGUGACGACAGAGAUACUAACAAACUGGGAUCUGAAAGUUACCAGACGAAGGAAAAGAAAAGAGCUUUUUAGAGACUGCCUCCUCUUCUCAUCACUCCCACUUAGUCUAGUCCCAAGGACUGUCCUUUACUGUUCCUCUCUAUCUUUUUAUU